UAAUACGUAGGGACCAAGCGUUGUUCGGAUUUACUGGGCGUAAAGGGCGCGUAGGCGGCGUGACAAGUCACUUGUGAAAUCUCUGAGCUUAACUCAGAACGGCCAAGUGAAACUGUUGUGCUAGAGUGCAGAAGGGGCAAUCGGAAUUCUUGGUGUAGCGGUGAAAUGCGUAGAUAUCAAGAGGAACACCUGAGGUGAAGACGGGUUGCUGGGCUGACACUGACGCUGAGGCGCGAAAGCCAGGGGAGCAAACGGGAUUAGAUACCCCGGUAGUCCUGGCCCUAAACGAUGAAUACUUGGUGUCUGGAGUUAUUAGUGCUCCGGGUGCCGUCGCUAACGUUUUUAGUAUUCCGCCUGGGGAGUACGCUCGCAAGAGUG
rnacentral:rRNA from 1 species